AAAAUACCUAUUUGCAAACGGACUAUGCUGGAGAAAAUAAUGUUUGAAUCAAAUCAUUGCUUCCGCAGCAAACUUAGAAGACAAAUAGGGAGCAAAGAGAACAUGAGCACCACGGUAGAAAGCUGUUUUUAACAUCAGUUCAGAAACUGAAGAAGCCCAAAGAAAAUAAUUAUGCCACUUGUUAAUUGUAAAUUAGUGUAUUUCUCUUGAACAAUGUCACAUUCACAUACCAGUGUAAUUUUGAAAUGGUUUUACAAUAUACUUAUAUAAAUAUACAGAUUAAAAAUAAAUAAAACACAACUGCAGAUA